AUUUUAUUGGACAUUGACCAUCACAUGUCACGAUUUUAUUGGAAGUUGACGUUAAUUAAGUGUAUAGAUUGACGUUAAUUAAAUGCAUGAAAUUAACGUCCAAUAAAAUUGUGACACAUGAUGAUCAAUGUUG
rfam:Glycine soja cultivar W05 scaffold5516_3, whole genome shotgun sequence.